rnacentral:rRNA from 1 species
ACGCUGGCGGCAGGCCUAACACAUGCAAGUCGAGCGGUAGCACGGGAGAGCUUGCUCUCUGGGUGACGAGCGGCGGACGGGUGAGUAAUGUCUGGGAAACUGCCUGAUGGAGGGGGAUAACUACUGGAAACGGUAGCUAAUACCGCAUGACCUCGCAAGAGCAAAGUGGGGGACCUUCGGGCCUCACGCCAUCGGAUGUGCCCAGAUGGGAUUAGCUAGUAGGUGGGGUAAUGGCUCACCUAGGCGACGAUCCCUAGCUGGUCUGAGGGGAUGACCAGCCACACUGGAACUGAGACACGGUCCAGACUCCUACGGGAGGCAGCAGUGGGGAAUAUUGCACAAUGGGCGCAAGCCUGAUGCAGCCAUGCCGCGUGUGUGAAGAAGGCCUUAGGGUUGUAAAGCACUUUCAGCGAGGAGGAAGGCGCUGUAGUUAAUAGCUGCAGCGAUUGACGCUACUCGCAGAAGAAGCACCGGCUAACUCCGUGCCAGCAGCCGCGGUAAUACGGAGGGUGCAAGCGUUAAUCGGAAUUACUGGGCGUAAAGCGCACGCAGGCGGUUUGUUAAGUCAGAUGUGAAAUCCCCGAGCUUAACUUGGGAACUGCAUUUGAAACUGGCAAGCUAGAGUCUUGUAGAGGGGGGUAGAAUUCCAGGUGUAGCGGUGAAAUGCGUAGAGAUCUGGAGGAAUACCGGUGGCGAAGGCGGCCCCCUGGACAAAGACUGACGCUCAGGUGCGAAAGCGUGGGGAGCAAAC